UCCGGGCGCGUGGAAUUCAGAACCGACGGGUGGUCGUCGCGCUCGCGCGACGGUUUUUCGUCGAUUCGAUAUUUCCGCCGCCGACCCGUAGAAACGGGUGCGGACGUCGCGACCCGUUCGUCGUCGAUCUGACGAGUCGCGUUUCCAGUUCGAGACGCGCGGUUUUCGUUCGCGUACGUUUAGGCGUGCGUGGGUGCGCGCGUCGCGAAGGCGCGAUACUCGGAUCGGCGUGCGCGGACGGUAGCUGUAAACGCGCGGGUAAUCGACGCCGACGGUUGUGUGAUGGUAAAAUAUUAUACGCGUUCGAGCGUCGACGCCGGUCAGCGACGAAUCUUCGGGCCUCUUUCCGACCCGUCUUGAAACACGGACCAAGGAGUCUAACGUGCGCGCGAGUCGCGGGGUACUCGAGUCGUUAAUUUUUUUUUUUUUUUUCGAGAAAGAAAAAAAAAAACGCGACUCGUUACGCGAACGAAACCCGUUAUACGUACGUUGUGCGAAGGCGUAAUGAAAGUGAGGCGACGCGUUUCGGCGCGCCGCCGGGGAAGACGGUGGUAUCUCCGUGUACACGUUCCUCGGUUCACACACGCUUGUAACCGGGGCCGGACACCCGCAUUCCCAGGGCGUCCCGAUCGUCCGUCGACGGCGCGGACGUGCGUUGCUUUUCGGAGUCGCGCGCGUCGACCGUCGACGAACUGGGGCGCACCUAUAGCGUGCACGUUGGUACCCGAAAGAUGGUGAACUAUGCCCGGCCAGGAUGAAGUCAGGGGAAACCCUGAUGGAGGUCCGCAGCGAUUCUGACGUGCAAA
rnacentral:rRNA from 1 species